UAAGAAAAAAUAAACUUUUAAAUUAAAAUUGUUAUGCCAAAUUUGGGUGUCUCAAACUAUUUGUUUGCGUAUGCAGUAGCCAACUUAGACUGUGUCUAUGUUUGUACGUAUUUAUACAUAAAGGGCUGUAGAAGUUACUUAUGUUUUUCUUUUAAUGGCUACGAGUCAACAUAUUUAAUCAAAUGAUGAAUCAAGGUAAGAUCAAUUUUUUCUAAAUGCAGAUAAAUGAAUAGUAUGACUUUCAUAGCAGUGACUUAAAUUUAAAUGUACACUCUGAAGGUUGUGUGUGGUAAAAGUGUGUUUUUAGACUGUGGGGGAAACAGGUGCUCUUACUCUCCAAUUAGUCACUGAGCUAGAUAAUACUGUAAUCCCAAGAAACGGGUAUUGUAGGCCUUUUGUUUAGCCCUGUUAAUGCUUCAUUCUACUAAUAAAACUCUAGUAAUAGUAAAAAAAAAUCGUGUAUUCAAUGACUAUUAAUUGAAUAUGCCAGGAACUGUGUUAAGAGUAGGUGAUAAAAAGGUGAAGACAUGAUCCAUUCUCAUCAGGAAAUAAUCUUAUCUACUACGAACCCUCAUGCCUGUGCUGCAGAAGCUGAGGUCCCAGAGGGAUGGAUUCUGACUAGAUUAGGGGUCUAGGGAUAGACAGAAAAGAGGCCUCUGAAAAACCAAACUGAUGUUAUUACUAAUGAUUCCAUAAUUUAUUCAUUGGAGAAUCCUCUGGGUCCACAUUCAGAACAUAUUUUCUUUAAUAUUUUUCAUGAUUGUACCUAGUGCUUCUGUCUGGUAUUUUGUUUGAUAGUUGCUUCGAACAAAUAUGGUGUGGAGACACACACUGACAACAGCAAAAAGUGCUGACUGGGACCGACAGUGAGGGAGGGGAGCCCAGAGGGAAGUUGAUAACCCAAAUGUCAUCUGGUAUCUCCAGUUGUUCAUUCCUUGAUAUUGCUGAUGAUAAUGUUACAAACUGUACCAGGGAAAGCAAACAUAGUCACUGCCCCUGGUAAGAAGGCAGGGGAAUAACUAUCUUAGAAAAUUUGAUGCAAAUCAAGUUUGUAAAAUAUUAAUACCUGAAAAGUCAUAUACUUACAUCUCCAACAUUCAUUUAAAACUGAGUUGUGGGAUAUGUAAGUUGCAUUUGUGUGCAUGUGUAUGUAUGUAUGUAUGUAUGUAUGCAGAAACAUUUUGAUUUGUGGAUGUUUUAUGCCUUAAAAUAUUUACUGGCUUGAAAAUAUAUUUUAACUGGCUUAAAAUUUUAGAGGUGAGCUCCCUGUGAAUAUCCGUGUUAAAUUGACCAUUUUGAAAUUUAAGACAAUAUAUAUAUCAUUUCAGAUAUUGUUUCACUAUUUUGAUCAGAAAAGUAUGUUAGAGAACCAUAUUUUACAUAUAAGAAUAUAUAUAUUAACAUUUUUCAGUCAGCAGAUAUUUAUUUUAUGUCAUGCCCAUUUCAUUUUCUUUUUCACUGUUAGGGACUUUUGCCGUCAGGAUGAAAAGUGUGAUUAUUACUUUAGUGUGGAUGCAGAUGUUGUUUUGACAAAUCCAAGGACUUUAAAAAUUUUGAUUGAACAAAACAGAAAGAUCAUUGCUCCUCUUGUAACUCGUCAUGGAAAGCUGUGGUCCAAUUUCUGGGGAGCAUUGAGUCCUGAUGGAUACUAUGCACGAUCUGAAGAUUAUGUGGAUAUUGUUCAAGGGAAUAGAGUAGGAGUAUGGAAUGUCCCAUAUAUGGCUAAUGUGUACUUAAUUAAAGGAAAGACACUCCGAUCAGAGAUGAAUGAAAGGAACUAUUUUGUUCGUGAUAAACUGGAUCCUGAUAUGGCUCUUUGCCGAAAUGCUAGAGAAAUGACUUUACAAAGGGAAAAAGACUCCCCUACUCCGGAAACAUUCCAAAUGCUCAGCCCCCCAAAGGUGUUAUUUUUACUUAUUUUAUUUAUUUUUGUUUAUUUAAUAUUUGAUAUAGUAUAUUGCCUAGUAGUAAAGUUUCUUUAAGGGCCUUAUUUGCAUUUAGCUUGGUAAAAUGUUGAUUUUCAUCAGUCAUCUGUGUAUGUGUUUGCGUGUUUUGUGUGACUUGGGCAUGGGUCUUGUGUGAUAGUCAACUCUUGGUUCUUUGAGCUGAUUUAUAUUUUAUGGCUGACAGGUGAGAAAGUUAAACCUAAGUCCCUUUCAUUCUUUUUUUAGGUUUUUAUUUCUUUUUAAAGGGAGAGAAGAGGAUAGAAGUAGGUAUAAAAUAGAAUUUGAUUACAGUAAGGUUUAGGUGCACCUUAUUGAGUUAUUAAUCACUAACUCUUUUACUAUUAAAACAGGUCCAAAAAGAAACACAUUACCUAGUGGUGUUUGCCACAUUUGUCUGGUUUGGGGCAAGAAUAUGAGACUGGUUUUCUUUAUCUGCCUUUAUAAUGUAUGACUCAUUUGCGUGUUAGUCUUUAAACAUUAGAAAAAGAAAGGAAUGAAACAGACUGGUGAAAUAUAACUGGCAGUGAAUUCUUGAUUAAAAAUGUGAUGCUUUCUUUGAAAGAGAAAGAAGCCAAAAGAGGUAUAAUUCAUUGCACUGUGUCUCAAAAAUAUUUCUGCUUUCAAACAGGAAUUUUUUCCCUGAUGUCUACAUCUAGGAUCAAUGAGAAAGGGACAAAAACAGUCCAUUCUUCUUUUUUUCAGUUGAGUGUCAGUGCUAUCUACUAGUUUUGUGUGGUGUCUGAAUUCAUAAUCAAAAUUUGAGUUUUUUAUUUUAAACUAUGCACAUUUUAUAUGUAUACUAAAAAUGCAUGUUCAUAAAUGAAAUAUAAAGAUAGAAAUUAAUAUCUUCUAUAUAUUUUUCCUAUGAUUAAAUUUACUUUUGUACCUACCUCUAAGAUUAAUACUGUUAUUUUCUGGCAUAUAGGGUGUAUUUAUGUACAUUUCUAAUAGACAUGAAUUUGGAAGGCUAUUAUCCACUGCUAAUUACAAUACUUCCCAUUAUAACAAUGACCUCUGGCAGAUUUUUGAAAAUCCUGUGGUAUGUAUUUCAUACUCAACUUUAUUAUUUUUCUAUAACUGUAAGUGGUUAUAAAUCAGUUGGUUAAUAAUAUGAAAUGUGGUUAGAGGCUUUUUAAAAUGACAUAAGGUGAAAUGCACAUCAAAACCACAAUGAGAUACUGUCUCACACCAGUCAGAAUGGCUAUUAUUAAAAAGUCAAAAACAACAGAUAUGGGUGAGGCUACGGAGAAAAGGGAAUGAUUGUACGUUGUUGGUCGGAAUGUAAAUUAGUUUAGCAAUUUGGAAAGCAGUUUGAAGAUUUCUCAAAGAUCUUAAAACAGAGCUACCAUUUGACCCAGCAAUUCCAUUACUGGGUAUAUGGCCAAAAGAAAGUAAGUCAUUUGACCAAAAACACACAUGAACCUGUAUCUGUUCAUUGCAGCACUAUUCACAGUAGCAAAGACAUGGACUUAAACUAGGUGUUCAUUAAUGGUGGAUUGGAUAAAGAAAAUGUGUUACAUACACACCAUAGAAUACUAUACAGCCAUAAAAAAGAACAAUAUUAUGUCAUUUUCAGCAACAUGGAGAGAGCUGGAGGCCAUUACCCUAAGUGAAUUAAUGGCACAGAAAAACCAAAUACUGCAUGUUCUCACUUAUGAGUGGGAGCUAAACAUUGGGUACUUGUGAACAUAAAUAUAGGAACAGUAGACUCUGGGGAUCACUAGAGGAGUGAGGGAGUAGGGAGGGGGACAAGGGUUGAAAAACCAACUAAUGGGUACUGUGCUCACUACCUUGGUGAUGGGAUCAGUCAUACCCUAAACCUUAGCAUCAUGCAUUAUACACUUGUAACAAACCUGCACAUAUACUCCCUGAAUCCAAAAGCUAAAAUUGUUUUUAAAAAGUAAAUAAAAA
rnacentral:sRNA from 1 species